UACGUAGGGAGCAAGCGUUGUCCGGAUUCACUGGGUGUAAAGGGUGCGCAGGCGGAUUUGUAAGUCAGAGGUGAAAUCUCACGGCUUAACCGUGAAACUGCCUUUGAUACUGCAGAUCUUGAGUUUGGGAGAGGUUGAUGGAAUUCCAGGUGUAGCGGUGAAAUGCGUAGAGAUCGGGAAGAACAUCGGUGGCGAAAGCGCUCUGCUGGACUGCAACUGACACUCAGGGACGAAAGCUAGGGGAGCGAAUGGG
rnacentral:rRNA from 1 species